rnacentral:rRNA from 1 species
ACGGGAGGCAGCAGUGGGGAAUAUUGGGCAAUGGGCGAAAGCCUGACCCAGCGACGCCGCGUGCAGGAAGAAGAUCUUCGGAUUGUAAACUGCUUUUAUCGGGGACGAAAAAAUGACGGUACCUGAUGAAUAAGCCACGGCUAACUACGUGCCAGCAGCCGCGGUAAUACGUAGGUGGCGAGCGUUAUCCGGAUUUACUGGGUGUAAAGGGUGUGUAGGCGGGAUUGCAAGUCAGAUGUGAAAACUAUGGGCUUAACUCAUAGCCUGCGUCUGAAACUGUAGUUCUUGAGGGUCGGAGAGGUAACUGGAACUCCCGGUGUAGCGGUGAAAUGCGUAGAUAUCGGGAGGAACACCGGUGGCGAAGGCGGGUUACUGGACGAUUACUGACGCUGAGACACGAAAGUGUGGGGAGCAAACAGGAUUAGAUACCCUGGUA